GCCUAGAAGCCUCUCAGAGGCCAGGAGACAGGCUCUGGGGGACUUGGCAUCUCCCUCCUCCCAACUUUCUGGGCCCCCAGUAGGUGCCGGGAGGUAGACAGUCCAGCCUGGAGAUGUUUAUGGUUGGAUGGCUUUGUUCAGAGUCCAGGAGACCUGAGAUGAAAGGAAACGGGGGCCUGCCAGCUUGAGGGCACCUGUUCCCGAGUCGUGCGUCCUUCUCAGGCGUGGGCCUGGAUGGCCUCCUGUGUCCUGACGGUGUGUGUGUGCGUGCGUGUGUGCCCGCACAUGCACGCAGGGGAUCCCUGGUGUGAGAACAUGCGGUUUGUGUGCACAUGUGCCCAGAGUGAGCACACGGAGCACUUAGCUUCCCAGGGGAAGGGACACCUGGAGCACAAGAUGAACAGCAGACAUGGGCCUGGGCUGCAUCCUGCCGGCAGCAGAAUGUGGAUGUAGCCACCCCGCCCAUGCACACCUGGCUGGCUCCAUCCAUUACAAACAGCAAGCCUUGUUGGGCCUCCUUGUGCCAAGGUCAGUACCCCCUGGAGUGUGCACUUACUAGGUGCCAGGGUGGGUUGUACCCUUUGCUGC
rnacentral:lncRNA from 1 species